GACGAACGCUGGCGGCGUGCCUAAUACAUGCAAGUAGAACGCAGUUGCGAACGGGUGAGUAACGCGUAGGUAACUGCCUCAUAGCGGGGGAUAACUAUUGGAAACGAUAGCUAAUACCGCAUACUGUGAGAUGGACCUGCGUUGUAUUAGCUAGUUGGUGAGGUAAAGGCUCACCAAGGCGACGAUACAUAGCCGGCCUGAGAGGGUGGUCGGGCAAAAGGGGACUGGGGAACGGGCCAGACUUCUAAGGGGGGGAGCAGGAGGGAAACUUCGGCAAAGGACGGAAGUCUUGCCGAGGAACGGCGCGUGAGUGAAGAAGGGUUUCGGGUCGUAAAGCUCUGUUGUUAGGGAAGCGGUAACUAAACAGAAAGGGACGGCUAACUACGUGCCAGCAGCCGCGGUAAUUC
rnacentral:rRNA from 1 species